UACGAAGGGGGCUAGCGUUGUUCGGAUUUACUGGGCGUAAAGCGCACGUAGGCGGAUCUUUAAGUCAGAGGUGAAAUCCCAAGGCUCAACCUUGAAACUGCCUUUGAUACUGGGGAUCUCGAGUCCGGAAGAGGUUGGUGGAACUGCGAGUGUAGAGGUGAAAUUCGUAGAUAUUCGCAAGAACACCAGUGGCGAAGGCGGCCAACUGGUCCGGUACUGACGCUGAGGUGCGAAAAGCGUGGGGAGCAAACAGG
rnacentral:rRNA from 1 species